CCUGGUCUGUGGGGGUUUGUAUUUGAGGACUCCAGCCCCAUCUUCAUCCAACUCAUUGUGUGUGUGCAGAGCAGCUCCUAGAAGGAGCUGUGUGCUCCUCCAGCAGCUAAAAACAGCUCCAAACCUGCCCUUGUGAAGCCUGGAGGAGUAAGAGGAUUAAGAGCGAUGUGAAAUUAAAUGCCAGCUUCUCCAGAUAAAGGGGCCAGCUGCAUGCAGCCAAGCACCCGUGCAUCAUCUGCCUGUACCAGUGACCGUGGUGAUUAUUGCCUUCGGUUUCAGCCCAAGACCUAAAGCUGUGAGGGUACGCGGGAGAACAGGAGCUCCUAAAAGCCACUGUCAUGGUUCUCAGGAGCUGCUGGAUGUGUUGCUGUCAGGAACAAAAUUGUUCCAAUGUUCAAAAUGUUGCAGCACGCCCGGUGUUGCACUGAUCCAUCCUGCAGCUCUGUCCCCAGCCCUUGCUGGGACAUCGCUGCUGGGCAGCUGCCCACAGAGCAAAUGGCAGGCUGCGAUGGGGAGAACCAACAUGGGAAGUGGUAGGUGGAAAAUAUCUGCAGGCUGGUGGCUGAGAGCUGGUUUUAAGGACAGAAAAUUCAUGAUGGGUGAGAAAUGUACAAGUUCACUUUGAUUAACCUGGAGUACAGGGGCUCGCUGUGUUGUUCUGUUCUAGCAGCUGGGCUGAUCGUUAUUUCUUAUGACAUUGCCAAAGCUUCCUGAACUGAAAAGGUGCUGGGAACAGAUCUCCCAACCCCGGUCUUUCUGCCAAGCCUCUCUGCAGGUAGCAAAAGCAGAAGCAUGUCCAUCAUAUUCAGUGUCUUGUCUCCCAAAAUAACCAGUAAGUGAUGUUGCACACAGUUCCAGGUGAUGUGACAGCAGGCAAUUACAGCUUCCUGCCUGCACCGCAGCCUCCUCCCUCCUCCUCUCCUUAUACCCUUGCAGUUUCCCUUGCUAAGAACUGUGGCUGUGGAUUUUCUUUAUCCCUCUAAACACAUAAUCCACCCAUGAACCCUGUUGGUCCCUUGCAGCUCAUUCUGACAAAGCAGUGCUCCAUAAGCCUAAUAAUGCUUUCUUUUAAAGAAACAUCUGAUUUUAUCCCUUCUAAUUGUCUUUGCCUGCAAUCUGGGUGGGGUAGGGGGAAAGCUGUAAAUGUAAAGCUGUCAGCUUCUUGGUCUAAGAAGCUGGAUCUUCAAAGUCUUGCCAGAUUCAAGUGCACCUCUCUGAGAGCUGCUGGCAGAGGUGUGAGCACAGCCAUCUGUGUGGGGCAGACCCAGAUGUGUGCCCCACUUGCCUGGGAGAGGCCUUUGUGCAGCUUGCUUUGCUUCCUGGGUGUUUCUGCGGGUGACUUCUUGCCCAGUCCUCCUCCUCCUUUGCCCAAUGGCCCUAAAAUCUGACUUGUUCUAUGACUUUUCAUUUAAAAAAAGAAAUUUUCUUGGAUUUCCAGGCACUGAAGUAACACUGGAAGAAAUUAAACAUUUUGGGGUCUCCUGGGUGGAGUAAUUGCUCUCUGUGCCCUGAAGCUUUUGGGGGGGAAGGGAAGGGUGGAUGACAGUAUCUAAUAAUAAUUCCAUGGUGUCUCUCUUUACUGAUGUCUUGAAGGGUUUGUACAAAAAACAGGGAAGAAAAUCAAAGUGUUGUCAGAACACUGGCUAAGGAAGUGGAGGUUCUUAAAAACGGCAGUGGCCCAAAAGGCAGCAGUAUGACCUGUGGAGGGGAGCUGUGUGUGCUCUGCAGGGCAGUAGCAGCCAGGAUUAGGCACACAGAGAUAACCGAGGAGGACAGCAGCCUGGGCGCGUUAGGAUGACUUGCCCUUUCUGUUGGCCAACUCUUG